AGUCGAACGGCAGCACGGGAGCAAUCCUGGUGGCGAGUGGCGAACGGGUGAGUAAUAUAUCGGAACGUACCUUUCAGUGGGGGAUAACGUAGCGAAAGUUACGCUAAUACCGCAUAUUCUGUGAGCAGGAAAGCAGGGGAUCUUAGGACCUUGCGCUGAUUGAGCGGCCGAUAUCAGAUUAGCUAGUUGGUGAGGUAAAGGCUCACCAAGGCGACGAUCUGUAGCGGGUCUGAGAGGAUGAUCCGCCACACUGGAACUGAGACACGGUCCAGACUCCUACGGGAGGCAGCAGUGGGGAAUUUUGGACAAUGGGGGCAACCCUGAUCCAGCCAUGCCGCGUGAGUGAAGAAGGCCUUCGGGUUGUAAAGCUCUUUCAGCCGGGAAGAAAACGCAUGGGUUAAUACCCUGUGUGGAUGACGGUACCGGAAUAAGAAGCACCGGCUAACUACGUGCCAGCAGCCGCGGUAAU
rnacentral:rRNA from 1 species